AUUUAAUUGGUCUAAUUAGGAUUAUAGUUUGUGGAACUGUAGGAGCAAAGAGUUAAUUGCAUUAAAUC
rnacentral:tRNA from 1 species